UUUUCCUAUUUUAUUUGAGGGGUCUUUUGUGCUAAUAAUCUCUUGGAGUUCCUAGAUAUUUUUCCUUGCUUUGUUCCUAAGUAAUCAGGUCUGAAACUGCUGAAGAAAGAAGGUCAAAAGGCAUGGAAAAUUGAAGGGAGGCUUAAAGCGAAGUUAAGAAGAAGGUCAAGAGGCUUUCUAGCAUGUCGAGAGCGCUCAGGCGCUCGUGUUGAGCGCCAAUUAGAUAGUUGUGUACAUCAUGCUAGAGAGUAAUUGGCGCCUGAGCGCUCCUGUUGAGCGCCUAGGCGCCAAUUACCUUCCAGAGGCUCAGUUUCAG
rnacentral:lncRNA from 1 species